CGUAGGUGGCAAGCGUUGUCCGGAAUUAUUGGGCGUAAAGCGCGCGCAGGCGGUUCCUUAAGUCUGAUGUGAAAGCCCCCGGCUCAACCGGGGAAGGUCAUUGGAAACUGGGGAACUUGAGUGCAGAAGAGAAGAGCGGAAUUCCACGUGUAGCGGUGAAAUGCGUAGAGAUGUGGAGGAACACCAGUGGCGAAGGCGGCUCUUUGGUCUGUAACUGACGCUGAGGCGCGAAAGCGUGGGGAGCAAACAGGGAUUAGAUACCCUGGUAGUCCACGCCGUAAACGAUGAGUGCUAAGUGUUAGAGGGUUUCCGCCCUUUAGUGCUGCAGCUAACGCAUUAAGCACUCCGCCUGGGGAUACGGCCGCAAGGCUG
rnacentral:rRNA from 1 species